CAGGGUCCCAAGGAAGAAAACAGAUGCUGUGUCCCUCCCACUGCUCCCAAUUGCAGGUGUUGGUACAGUGACAAGCUGCUGUCUCCCACAGUGGUGUCAACCAGAACAGAACACCGUGGGAAGAACACUGGGGACGGGUCCUUUCUCCCCAGCUCUUCAGCCUGGCUUUAAACUAGUUCAAGAGAAAGCUGCUGACUUCAAUCCCCUGCCUAGGAGACAAUGCUGUGCUUCUCACACCUCUGCUUCAGCCCUGAGCAGUUUCUACCUCAACCCAGCUGAUGUUCCAUAUGAGCACUGCUGCCUGCUCUUUCCUGCUCAUGGAGGCUGCUUUGCUGCAAAUGCCAGUGUUUGUGGUUCACCUGAGGAGAUCACCAGCUAUUCAAGACCACUGCCAUCAGAUGCCAACAGCUGCAGCUCAUCGGCCUACGGUUCUUUCUGAUGAAGUGCUUUUCAGAUCAGAAUAUGCCAAUCCAUCAAACCCAAGACUUUUGAUGGGGCGAGAGAGUUCAACCAACUCCCUCCAGUUUUAAAUUCCACUUUUGUUUUUAAAAUUAAACCACUGGUAAUGAAAGAAUAAAACACAAAGCAGGAGUCUAUAUUGAAAUCA
rnacentral:lncRNA from 1 species